rnacentral:rRNA from 1 species
GAUGAACGCUGGCGGCGUGCCUAAUACAUGCAAGUCGAGCGAACAGACGAGGAGCUUGCUCCUCUGACGUUAGCGGCGGACGGGUGAGUAACACGUGGAUAACCUACCUAUAAGACUGGGAUAACUUCGGGAAACCGGAGCUAAUACCGGAUAAUAUAUUGAACCGCAUGGUUCAAUAGUGAAAGACGGUUUUGCUGUCACUUAUAGAUGGAUCCGCGCCGCAUUAGCUAGUUGGUAAGGUAACGGCUUACCAAGGCAACGAUGCGUAGCCGACCUGAGAGGGUGAUCGGCCACACUGGAACUGAGACACGGUCCAGACUCCUACGGGAGGAAGCAGUAGGGAAUCUUCCGCGAUGCGCGAAAGCCUGACGGAGCAACGCCGCGUGAGUGAUGAAGGUCUUCGGAUCGUAAAACUCUGUUAUUAGGGAAGAACAAAUGUGUAAGCAACUAUGCACGUCUUGACGGUACCUAAUCAGAAAGCCACGGCUAACUACGUG